rnacentral:lncRNA from 1 species
CCCUUCGUCGCCGCGGCUCUCGUCCGGGACACGGCUUUCCGGAGUAGAGCCCUUGGAGGUGUUAAGUGUGAUGCUUCCAUAAUACAUUUGGAUGCUGUCAGCUAAGUUCACUUCUGAACUAAGGGGUUCCUCCAAAUGUUGGCUGAAAUUCAUCCCAAGGCUGGUCUGCAAAGUCUGCAAUUCAUAAUGGAGCUACUGUACUGGCUAUUGGAAGGAGGAGAUUCUGAAGAUAAGGAGGUAAAACCUGUUUAGAAAUUAAAAAUGAGUUACGAUUUAAAGAAAAUUCAGAUGACUCAUUGUGAGUGCUAGUUCUCUUGUAGGAUGCCACUGGAAAUGUUGAAAUGAAAAAUAUUCAGCCGUUGGUCUUUGAAAUUUCCUGUGAUGUGUUUCAAUCUAGAUGCAAAGAACAUGGAAAAAUCAAAGUGCUCGAGUGGUUUAAAUAUGUUUUGGGUAUUCCUGUUUAUAGACUAUAAUACUUUUCCAAUUAAAAUCCUCAGUUGUCACGCAGAAGAAGGUUAAGCUGUAUUUGAUUGCCAGUUUUACUGAAAAUGCUUAGUAUUUUACAGUAUCACCAAAUAUAUUUUGUUUAGCCAAGGUAUAGGAAAAAUAAAAUAAAUUGUAUAGGUUG